GAUGAACGCUGGCGGCGUGCCUAAUACAUGCAAGUCGAGCGAACAGACGAGGAGCUUGCUCCUCUGACGUUAGCGGCGGACGGGUGAGUAACACGUGGAUAACCUACCUAUAAGACUGGGAUAACUUCGGGAAACCGGAGCUAAUACCGGAUAAUAUAUUGAACCGCAUGGUUCAAUAGUGAAAGACGGUUUUGCUGUCACUUAUAGAUGGAUCCGCGCCGCAUUAGCUAGUUGGUAAGGUAACGGCUUACCAAGGCAACGAUGCGUAGCCGACCUGAGAGGGUGAUCGGCCACACUGGAACGGAGACACGGUCCAGACUCCUACGGGAGGCAGCAGUAGGGAAUCUUCCACAAUGGGCGAAAGCCUGACGGAGCAACGCCGCGUGAGUGAUGAAGGUCUUCGGAUCGUAAAACUCUGUUAUGAGGGAAGAACAAAUGGGUAAGUAACUAUGCACGUCUUGACGGUACCUAAUCAGAAAGCCACGGCUAACUACGUG
rnacentral:rRNA from 1 species